GGUGAUGUGGUGUGGGGGUCAGUUAUGUUUAUCUUUACUGCAGCAUUCCCGUGUGUUUACCGUUUGAGUUGGGACAUCCAAUAUAUGCUGUUUGGCAUCUACUUCAUUUCUAUCCCGUGGAUACUGACGUCAGCUCUGCUUUUUGGUGUGGCAAGCGGCUGCAUUAUUUGGGCUAAGACUGUGCGUGCUGCAUUCCCCUACUACAUAUAGAAGCACGCUGCUGUUUUGUUCCUGCUUGAUUUACUUUCGUUUCUUUUUCUUUAUAUUUUUGCUGUGUGUUUUCAUCAUUUUUGUCCUGGGUGAUUUAGCGCGGCCCGAUUUUGGAGUUGUUGGUUAAAACCUGCUCCUACUGUGACUGUAUUUAAAGAUCUUUUCCUCGUACGUUGGGAAACAACGAGUUCGAGGGCCGCGCUCAUUCAGAUUAUUUAUUUCUUCAUUUUCCCUUUGUUGUGUUUCUCAUUUUGGACUGCUUCAGAAUGCUGAGAUUUUCUUUUGGACAUUGUUGUCUUUAAAUUUCUUUUCCUUUUUCUUUUGUGUUAUUAUCUAGCUGUUUAAGCUAGAAUUUAUUUAUUUUUCUUUAUGUUGGAAGGGCUUCUUUUGCUCCCCUGCAUUUAAUAAGUUUUCAUUGAUUAUUUUCUAUUGAUUUGAUUUAUUUUGUUUUGUAUCACAAUUACAGGAGCUGUGUGUCCGACGGCAGUGAGGCUUUCCUUCACCGUGUGCUGUGUUAUGCUGUGUGAGCACCACUGAUAAAAUCACGGGUAUUGGAGAACAAGACAGCAGCGUAGACUCUCUUUGAAGGGUCUCUUUGGCCAUCUCUCCUGAUUGUGUUUCAGGUCCAAAUUUACUUCCUGCCCCGCCUUGCCUGGUGGAGCUGUGUGUCCGACGGCAGUGAGGCUUUCCUUCACCGUGUGCUGUGUUAUGCUGUGUGAGCACCACUGAUAAAAUCACGGGUAUUGGAGUGAGUGUGUGUGUGCGUGUGUGCACUUAGUGUGAUUCUCCUCUUUUGCUCCCUCUCUUAGCCUAUCUGAUGCCAAUAGGCUACAGCUCUGAAACAAUUGUGAAUCCUUAUUGUGGAUUGUGAUUUCCAGCUUUAGUAAUUUGCUGGGUGACUAUUAUUCCUGCAUUUUAAACUUUUGUACAAAUAAACAAACUCUAUUUUGCUACCCACGUCUCUUGCUCAUUUUAUUCAGUGGAAUGUACCUGGGUUCCUUAUAAUAUUUUAAGUGAACUGAUUCCCUGGUCUAGUCCCAGGGUGGCGUAGUCUAUUGUAUAUCUUUUGAGUAUUGAAUAUUACUGCAAAAAGACCACUU